UACGUAGGGGGGCUAGCGUUGUCCGGAAUUAUUGGGCGUAAAGAGCUCGUAGGUGGCGUGUCGCGUCUGCCGUGAAAGCCCAUGGCUUAACUGUGGGUCUGCGGUGGAUACGGGCAGGCUGGAGGCUGGUAGGGGCAAGCGGAAUUCCUGGUGUAGCGGUGAAAUGCGCAGAUAUCAGGAGGAACACCGGUGGCGAAGGCGGCUUGCUGGGCCAGUUCUGACGCUGAGGAGCGAAAGCGUGGGGAGCGAACAGG
rnacentral:rRNA from 1 species